CCUACGGGUGGCUGCAGUGGGGAAUAUUGGACAAUGGGGGGAACCCUGAUCCAGCCAUGCCGCGUGUGUGAAGAAGGCCCUCGGGUUGUAAAGCACUUUCAGUGAGGAAGAACGCCUGGUGGUUAAUACCCAUCAGGAAAGACAUCACUCACAGAAGAAGCACCGGCUAACUCCGUGCCAGCAGCCGCGGUAAUACGGAGGGUGCGAGCGUUAAUCGGAAUUACUGGGCGUAAAGCGCGCGUAGGUGGCUUGAUAAGCCGGUUGUGAAAGCCCCGGGCUCAACCUGGGAACGGCAUCCGGAACUGUCAAGCUAGAGUGCAGGAGAGGAAGGUAGAAUUCCCGGUGUAGCGGUGAAAUGCGUAGAGAUCGGGCGGAAUACCAGUGGCGAAGGCGGCCUUCUGGACUGACACUGACACUGAGGUGCGAAAGCGUGGGUAGCAAACAGGAUUAGAUACCCCAGUAGUC
rnacentral:rRNA from 1 species